ACCUGACUGGUCUUGAUGUCAUAAUGGAACAAAUAACAAUGAAGAAACAAUACAUACAUACUCUCGCAUACAACUAAAUUAAUAACAAAGUCUCCAAUAAAAAAAAAAUCUGUUGAAAUUGUACAUGUAUGUUAUAUCCCCCCACUCUCUGCGGAGUGUACCCAUCAGAUGGUUUAAGUACAGCAUGCACUUUAAACACACAGCUAUCACAGUAUGCAUGUCUGACCAAACUUUCAAAAUUGCAAUUAAAAUGUCAUUGCAGAAUAUAUUACAAAAAAAAAAAACCUUCAGGAGCCACAAUCUCCCUGAUAAUUCGACUGCAUGCUAGUUACCCGGCACCCCUAGUUACCUUCAUGGAAGGUUUGAGUCUACAAAACAGAGCUACAUUGGGGAUUGAUAAUAAUUAGACAUGCAUGAGACAAAAAUCAUAAUCAUAUGACAUGUUGCCACUUAAACUAUUUUGAUUUGCUUUAUUUUGUAAAAAAAUUAGACCAGGAAAUAUUGAGAACUACCUUAAUUUUAAACCUCUAUAAAAAAUUGGACUGCUCUAAGAGCAUGGCGAUAUGGUGAUUACAUGUAGCAUUUGCUAUUAAUAUAGCUUUGUCACAGUGAAAAAUAGUCCGUAACACCGACAGUUUACCUGAAUUUAAACUUAAACAUCCUUUUUUGGUUUUUGCUAUUCCUAGUUUUUCUUCUGUUUACAGAAGUAAUGUUUCAAUAUCAUUUUUGCCACACAUUAUAGACAUCAUCUCACUGAUUUAAAAGCUACCCGUUUUCAACACUGAAUUUUGUACGUAGAGGUAUGUAGAGCAAUACAUCAAAUGGAAAUGAAAGGACAGAUGCUUAUUUAUUGAAAAUUGUGAUCUUUUUAGGAUUACGUGCAUUUCUUUGCAAAGAAACUUUCAACCUAUUGUGAACCGGGACUGUUGCUUUAAUGAAUACUUUAAAAUGACGAUUACCUGUUACUAGACUUCCACACUACACAUAUUGCAGUAAAUCUUGCAUUAUUCUUGAAAAAGGUAAUAUCGC
rnacentral:misc_RNA from 1 species